rnacentral:lncRNA from 1 species
GUGAAAUUAAUGAUUAGCUGUAACUUGUAAGUUUUCUUCCUUUUCGGUUUUUCCACCAACAGUUUCUUCAUUUUCAAUUAUAUUAAUUAGUAUGUAUUAAUUUUUGAGUAAUUAUAUUUUAAUUAAUUUUGUGUCUUUUCAUAUUUUAUAUUUUUGUACUAUAUAUAGAUUGGAAGUGUAUUUUUUUUCUUCAUGUAGUAGCUUGCUUACUAUAUUUGUUUUUAACUAGAUUGUUAGUCUAACAUAUUUUUCCUUUUUUUUCCAGAGUUGAUCAUUAUAAUAGACAUGAUUUGAUGAUAAGGAAUAAGAUUUGAAGAAUGUGGAAUGCGAUUUAUUUCAAGACAAAAGGUGAAUUGAUUUAUAAUUUUUCACUCUUCACAUAUGAAACCCAGACGACACUAAUUAAAUUCUCUUUGGUAUGUCCAAUCUCUUAUUUAACUUCUUGAUCACCUUAAUUCUCAUAAUGUAUUGUGAAAUUAUGUAUGUUGAAGUUAUUAUAUAUUUUUUUUAUAGAAUGUGUUUGGCAAGUGGACUAACUAAUGUGGAAUACAAAGUCAUCCAUGAGACAAAGAACAAAUUGAGAUGAUUGAUGAGAAAAUUUGUGGGAGAAUACUAGGGAUUCACGUACAAGUAGGAGAUGAGAAUUUAUCUUGAUAGUAAUCAUAAAUUUUCACAAUAUUUUGUUACAUUAGAUGUUUGUAUG